AGAGUUUGAUCCUGGCUCAGAACGAACGCUGGCGGCGUGCUUAACACAUGCAAGUCGAACGAGAAAGCUUCCUUCGGGAAGCGAGUAGAGUGGCGCACGGGUGAGUAACGCGUAGGUAAUCUACCCUUAUAUUUGGGAUAACAUCGGGAAACUGGUGCUAAUACCGGAUACCCUUCAUUUCUGCCGGGUUAUGGAGGAAAGGUGGCCUCUUCAUGAAAGCUACCGUAUAGGGAUGAGCCUGCGUACCAUUAGCUAGUAGGCGGGGUAACGGCCCACCUAGGCGACGAUGGUUAGCGGGUCUGAGAGGAUGAUCCGCCACACUGGAACUGGAACACGGACCAGACUCCUACGGGAGGCAGCAGUGAGGAAUAUUGCGCAAUGGGGGAAACCCUGACGCAGCGACGCCGCGUGAGUGAGGAAGGUUUUCGGAUCGUAAAGCUCUGUCAGAAGGGAAGAAGUGUUGCAUGGUUAAUACCCAUGUAAUUUGACGGUACCUUCAGAGGAAGCACCGGCUAACUCCGUGCCAGCAGCCGCGGUAAUACGGAGGGUGCAAGCGUUGUUCGGAAUUACUGGGCGUAAAGGGCGCGUAGGCGGCCCGAUAAGUCAGAUGUGAAAGUCCAUGGCUCAACUGUGGAAGUGCAUUUGAAACUGUCAGGCUUGAGUAUCGGAGGGGAGUGUGGAAUUCCCGGUGUAGAGGUGAAAUUCGUAGAGAUCGGGAGGAACACCGGUGGCGAAGGCGACACUCUGGACGAAUACUGACGCUGAGGCGCGAAAGCGUGGGGAGCAAACAGGAUUAGAUACCCUGGUAGUCCACGCCGUAAACGAUGUGAACUAGAGGUAGGGGGUGUUGAUCCCUCCUGUCUCGCAGCUAACGCAUUAAGUUCACCGCCUGGGGAGUACGGUCGCAAGAUUAAAACUCAAAGGAAUUGACGGGGGCCCGCACAAGCGGUGGA
rnacentral:rRNA from 1 species